rnacentral:lncRNA from 1 species
UUUGGAUUUUUAUCAAGUGAAACUACUUUGAAUCCUUGUUAGAAGUAUCUUCUACAAAAAGAAUGUUCUGUGGAUCUUCUCCCCAGCCGGUGAGAGACUUUAAUUUGUGAAAUCGAAAAUUUUCUUUGCACUCGUAAAUUAACAGCCAGAAGCGCACAAGUUUAUGAACGGAGGCAUAAACGCUUUUACCAACAUGAAACGAUAAAUUAUGGAGAUUUAAUUUUUCGACAGAGACACGUAUUUCAUAAUUUGUAAAACAUAUCGAUUUUCUAACAGAAAAUAACAUUGUUAUGAACAAUGUAAAUGACACGAAUCACGCUGACAACAACAAACACACAUUUUACCACAUUAAAAGAAUGAGUAACAAAAUAUUAAAAUAAAAACAAGUGCCCCAGCAUGGCCACAGCUCGUGAGCUGAAACUAGAUGAAAUAAAAUUUUAAAAAACCUAUCUAAUGUAAACAGAGACCCCAAAAAUAGUGAAUAAGUGAAUAAAGUCUGCUUGGUAUUGCUAUUUUACAAGGACAGGUGCAUCUCUACUCUAGUCAUUUAUGAAACCACGAAAAAGAAAAGAAUAACGUCAAUCAGUAACUCGAAAGUAACAUUGGCCUUCCUCGUGCUUAUGAAUAGCCAUUUGGUCGAGGUGUAAAAGCCAUCUGUCCCACCAGAAAUGAUAAAUGGAUGUCUGUUGCAGGAGGCAUAUAUUCAUCCUAUGACCCGUAUUGGUUAGCUAGGAAGAGAUCUUACCCUUCAUGGUCAAAGCGUGAUCACAAUAUUUCCACGAUUAACACUGGUCCUUAUGAUGGGGACAUUUCUUCUUUACUGACUACUUUUGUUGCUUUCUUUCAUUUUUUGUUUCCAUGUAAAAUCUUUACUAUUCUGUGUUUUGACCUUGCAUUUCGACCUUUCAGGCAUUUAAAUAAAUUCUUCUUCUUCUUCUUCUUCUUCUUCUUCUUCUUCUUCUUCUUCUUCUUCUUCUUCUUCUUCUUCUUCUCACAUUCUCCUCUUCCUACUACUACUACUACUACCACCACCACCACGACAACCGUCACCACCACAACCACAUCAGUAGAUCGUAGGAAUAGUAGCCGAGGGAGAACUCAAACAUACACAGUCGACGAAAUGUAUUCAUGCGUACACAUGUACAGGUGCAUAAGUAUAGCAAGGUAUUACUGAACCUAUACUCAAGUAAACAUGCAUUCAUACAAUUACAAUACAAUACAAUAUACAUACAAGCACACAUAUGUCUAUAUAUAUAUUUAUAAUAUAUAUAUAUGAAAUUUAGAGGACUGACCACUAAAAAAUGGACAACCUAUAUGCUAGAUAUAGACGUGAAAUUCGCCAUUUUCUACGAGGAAUGUGUUCUUAAGGAAAAAAAAUUCAGCAAAAAAAGAAACAAAGUGUAAAAAUAAGCAAGACAAAUGAAAAUAUACGAAAUAAAAAAACCAUUACCUAUGUACUAGUCCGGAAAAUAGCGAUUUUGACGUCUAUAUCUAGCAUAUCGGCUGUCCCUUUUUUUAGUGUUCAGUCCUCUAAAUUUUGUAUGAAAAAAAUUUUAAUCUUCGGAUUUUUUAAAAUAUGCUAGGCCACUGGGUUUAAUUCAUUAAUAUCAAUUUCUGCCCUUAUUUAAUUUUAAAUUUAAAAAAAUGUUCUCUAGCCGGUAAAUUGACUGCUGUAGUUUAUUAACUGCAAAGUAAUUUCCGAUUUCAGUGCGCCAAGGUGAAGGCAUUUGAAAGAUACACAUAAAUAUAAUUUGUUGAACUUUAUACAUGCUGGAUUUCGGUCGAGCGUUCUGUGUCUAGUUCUGGAAAUAAUGUUUUAUAAACGACAGACAAUGCUGAUGAUCUUGCAGAUGUUUGCGUAUCCAUAUACGUAAAUAUUAACAAAUGAAAAUAAUUAGUACAUAAUUAAUCGUUUUUUUAUUUCGUAUAUUUUCAUUUGUCUUGCUUAUUUUUACACUUUGAUUUUUUGCUGAAUUUUUUUCUUGAGGACACAUUCUUCGUGGAAAAUGGUGAUUUUGACGUCUAUAUCUAGCAUAUAGGCUGUCCAUUUUUUUAGUGGUCAGUCCUCUAAAUUUUGUAUGAAAACAUUUAAUCUUCGAAUUUUUUAAAAUAUGCUAGGCCACUGGUUUUAAUUGAUUAAUAUCAAUUUCUACCCUUAUUAUUUAAUUUUAAAUAUAUAUAUAUAUAUAUAUAUAUAUAUAUAUACCUAUAUAUAUAUAAUAUAUAUAUAAUAUAUAUAUGAUAUAUGAUAUAUAUAUAUAUAAUAUAUAUAUUAUAUAAUUUGUAUGCAUAUAUAUAUACACACACAGAAACACACCCAUCCAUUCAUACACACAUACAUAAAUGCGUGUCUUUUGUGCAUGAGCUGAUCAUCCACAAAGACAUUCACACAUUAAUUCAAAAACCAAUCAAUAUGCAUAUGCAACAAUGUAUAUAUAUAUAUAUAUAUAUAUAUAUAUAUAUAUUUAUAUACAUAUGUAUAUAUUUGUGUAUGUUUAUUCAUGUACCAUAUACACGUACAUAUCGUGUUCAAACAUCAGUCUGCACACGUUUACAUACUGAGAUAUGUCGUUACGUAUCCAUGAAUGGUAAUCGAAAUGAAUUAAUAUUAUAUUAGGUGAUAAGGUAAGGCAAUGUAUUGAAGUGAUAAUCGAUACGAGAACGUAAAUAGCUGUCUGAGACAACUUCGAAAUCAUGGCGAAAUGUCGUAUCACGGAAGUGAGUCGUGAAAGAAUAGUGUCGAAGACUAUAAAAAGGAGGGAGAGGGAGGGAAAAUUAGAGGGGUGGGAAGAAAUAUAAGAUAUGAGUGUGUACGUGUGUGUGUGUGUGUGUAAACAUAUGUUUAUGUUAGAGAAGUGCACGAGUGUAGCACUCGUAUGUAUGUAUGUACGUACGUAUGUAUGUGUGUAUGUUUAUGUAUAUUUAUGUGUGCUUAGUGUGUGUAUGUGUGAGCGUGCAUACAAAAGAGAGAGAGAGAGAGAGAGAAAGAGAGAUAAUGCGAAAUAUGAUAGAUACAGGCAUAAUGGAAGACUAACAAAUAUGUGUGUGUGUAGAAAUAGAAAUAUAUGCAUACAGUUGGAUAGAUAAAUAGAUCGACACGAAUAUAUAUAUAUAUAUAUAUAUAUAUAUAUAUAUAUAUAUUAUAUGCAUAUAAUUAUAUGUAUAUAUAUAUAUACAUAUAUAUAUAUAUAUAUAUAUAUAUAUAUAUAUAUAUAUAUAUAUAUAUAUAUAUAUAUAUAUAUGCAUAUAUUAAUAUGUAUGUAUGCAUGUAUUCAUGUAUUAUAUGUUUGUGGAUAAAUAGAUAGAUAGAUAGACACGUAGAUUUUCGCGCUCAUGAAAUCACACGUAGAUUGAAAUACGCAUAUGAACAGGAAAUGAGCAAGACUGGCUCAGAGAGAGAAAGAGAGAGAGAGAGCGAAGAAUGAGAGAGAAGAAAGAGAAAAGUCAGAAAAGGAAGUCAGAGAGAAGCAGAGCAUGAUAGAGAGAGGAGGCAGAACGUGAGAGAAUGUGCGGGAGAGAGUGCUGACUGUGGAGAACGGAGAGUACGAGAGAAGAGAGCCGUUAGAAAUAGAAAUGUGGAAUUAUAGGAGAUGAGUAGGGUUUUGACAAAUUAAAGAGAGAAAGAAAAGGAAGGGGACAGAGGUGGGGUGGGGGUAGAGUUUAGGGACAAAGUGAAGGGCGAGUAGAAAAUAUGGUAGAGAAGAGGAAGUGCAAAUAAAGGGUGAUAGGUAAAGAAAACCGAGGGAUAAAAUAAUGUCGUUGGGAGAUAAGAUGAGGACGAGUGGGAGUGGGAGUUAAGGAGAUCGAGAAAGAGAGAAAGAGAGUGCGACGAGAGAGAGAGAGAGAGAGAAAAGGGGAAGCAGAGAGAAAAAGAAAAGACGAACAAAUGAAAGAGAGAGGAAGCAAAGAGAGCAUGCGAGAGAGAAGAGAUAACGAGCGAGCGAGAGAGGGAGAGAGAGAGGGAGAGGAAGAGAUACAGAGGGAGAAACGGGGAAAAGGAGAGGGAGAGUUAAAGAGAGAGGGAAUAUACAGAUGGAAAGAGAGAGAGAGAGAGAGAGGAAGCAAAAAGAUAUAGAGAGAGGGAAGGGAGAGAUUGUGAGAGAGGGAAAAAGGUUUGGGAAAAGACAAACAGAAGAUUGAUGGAAUGAGAUAGAUGUAAAGAUGAAGAAGAGAAAAAGUGAUAGGAAUAAGAAGAAAUGAUGCGUUUAGACGAUAAGUUAUGGUUGAGAGGAGAAGAUUGAAAUGAAAAAAAUGAAAAUAUUUUGGUGAGAGAAAAUUUUAAGGAUGACGAGAAGUUUUUUUUCAAAGAAAGACGAAAUGAUAGAGGUGGGACGAGGAAAUGAUAAGGGUUGCAGGGAAUAUAGAAGGAUACAAGGAUAGUCACGAUAUCACGUGAUCGAGCAGAUUAUCGGAUGGUGUUAUACAUCGCUGGUCACGACGUGAUUUGCAUUGUUUUAGCAUUCGAAUGAUGCCACCCUGCGGGCUAGGAGAGCAGGCCAACAUUCUCCACUGAUCAGAAGGCGAGCUGGCAGAAACGUUAGCACGCCGGGCGAAAUGCUAAGCGGUAUUUCGUCUGCCGUUACAUUCUGAGUUCAAAUUCCGCCGAGAUCGACUUUGCCUUUCAUCCUUUCGGGGUCGAUAAAUUAAGUACCAGUUACGCACUGGGGUUGAUGUAAUCGACUUAAUCCGUUUGUCUGUCCUUGUUUGUCCCCUCUAUGUUUAGCCUCUUGUGGGCAAUAAAGAAAUAAGAAGGCUAUUGUUUCGCUGUUACUCUUUUUUUCCAGCUGAGUGGACUGGAGUAAUGUGAAAUGAAAUGUCUUGCUUCAGAACACGACGCAAAGCCCGCUCCAGGAAUCGAACUCCUGAUCAAGCGAUCAUCAGUGCACCAGCCUAACUACAAAGGUCACGCAUCUUCACAUAGGGACAAUAGAAAUAGAAGAUGAGUAUGGAAGAAAGAAGUAAAGUUAUGAAGGAGGAGACGUGGAAAGACGAAGGUGACA